rnacentral:rRNA from 1 species
UACGGGGGGAGCAAGCGUUGUUCGGAUUUACUGGGCGUUAAAGGGCGCGUAGGCGGCCUGUGUCAAGUCAGUUGUGAAAUCUCCGGGCUUAACUCGGAACGGUCAACUGAUACUGCUCGGCUAGAGUGCGGAAGGGGCAACUGGAAUUCUUGGUGUAGCGGUGAAAUGCGCAGAUAUCAGGAGGAACACCGGUGGCGAAGGCGGGUCUCUGGGCCGAAAUUGACGCUGAGGAGCGAAAGCGUGGGGAGCAAACAGG